UCAAAUCAUCAUGCCCCUUAUGCUUAGGGCUACACACGUGCUACAAUAGGUAGUACCGAUGGUUGCCACGCCGUACGGUGGUGCUAAUCCCUUAAAGCUACUCUCAGUUCGGAUUGUAGGCGGAAACUCGCCUGCAUGAAGCGUGAGUUACGAGUAAUCGCAGAUCAGAAGGCUGCGGAGAAUGCGUUCCCGGGUCUUGGACACACCGCACGUGACACCAGGGGAGUUGGAGACGCCCGAAGCCGAUUAGCGAACCGUUUGGAAGAAGUCGUCGAAGGUGGAAUCAAAAACUGGGGUGAAGUCGUAACAAGGUAGCCGUAUCGGAAGGUGCGGCUUGAUCACCUCCUUUCUAAGGAGA
rnacentral:rRNA from 1 species